CAUCACGCCAGGUCGCCAUAUUGUAUUAAGUCGAUGGGGAGGUCAAAAAUAUUUGGACUGUUUCCAAAAGAAAUACUACUAUACAGAAAAACAAUAUUUCCCCAAUAUCGGGGUGUAGAAACCUAAUACUAUUUCACAGCUCCGGUUUAAUGAAGAUUCUAUUGGUCAAGAAAGGUGAAAUUAGAAAAAAAAUAAAGAGGACAAGGAAUUGUUAUAAAUGAUGAACAAUAGGCAUAACAACAGAAUACAUGUAAUAAUAAUACUGAAAAAUAUAUGCGAAGUCUGCAACUGUUUCACCUGAUCCGUGUAGAAUCCAUUUUGUUUAACUAUGGUAUCAGUAUGAGAGCUGCCAUAUUGGUUUAUAUGAUUUAUAGCAUCAUCAACACCAUCAACAAUUUCUACGGCACAUUCAAGGGCACCAUAUUCUUUCUUCAUAUUUGUCUCUUCUGGUGGACCAAACUUAAUGGCCUCAGCUAUUCUUGGACCCAAGUGUAUCGUGACCUUUAGAAAACAGAAAUAUUGUAUAUUAGACCAUAACUGAUCAAAUUGCACGUAUUUAAUGUAUGCUAUUGAGUAUUGACUAUAGCAAAAGGUAAACAGAAAACCCCCAAAUUGAGCUGAAAAGCAUGACUGUAUUUAGUCACUUGGUACAGCUGAACCUGUAAAUAAAGUUUAGACGAAGAGAAAUUAUUCAACAACAUCUGCUGGAUUGCACCCUACCAGAUUCCUAUACUGCUGAUACUGUGUUCAUCAGUGCUGACACCAGUGUGAUUAACAUUAACAACAUAUUAUCCAGAUGAGUGAAGUUAGAACUUACAUUUGCUUCUUUGAGUGUAUCACAGAUACUGUCAAACAAUGGAGUAUAUAUAUGAGAUUUAUGUAAUAAUAAUGUUUCCAUGGCAUUACAUGCUGCAGGGUAAUCACAUUUAGAA